CUCCCCGGUGGGGAAUCGAACCUCAGUCGCCCGUGUGACAGGCGGGAAUACUAACCAUUACAGUACUGAGGA